rnacentral:tRNA from 1 species
ACAUUGGUGGUUCAGUAGUAAAAUUCUUGCCUUCCAUGUGGAAGACCUGGGUUCAAUUCCCAGUCAAUCCA